CCACGUCGGGCUCCCGGUGCAUGGAGCCUGCUUCUCACUCUGCCUAUGUCUCUGCCUCUCUCUCUCUCUCUCUCUCUAUGACUAUCAUAAAUAAAUAAAAAUUAAAAAUAGAACUACCUUACAAUCCCAGGUAUCACACUACUGGGUGUUUCCCUCAAAAUACAAAAACACUAAUUCAAAGGGAUAUACACACCCCUAUGUUUAUAGCAGCGUUAUUAUAGAAGCAAAUUUUAGAAGCAGCCCAAGUAUCCAUUGAAUGAAGGAAGAUGUGGAUAUAUAUGCAUAUGCACGCGCACACACACACACACAUACCACACACACAAUGGAAUAUUUCUCAGCCGUCAAAAAUAAUAAAAUCUUGCCAUUUGCAAUGACCUGGAUGGAGCUAGAGAGUAUAAUGCUAAGUGAAAUAAGAGAACAAGUACUGUCUGAUCUCACUCAUAUGUGGAAUUUAAGAAACAAAUGAGCAAAGGAAAAAUAAAAAGACAAACCAAGACACAGACUCUUAACUAGAGAGAGCAAAUGGUUACCAGAGGGGAAGUGGGUGGGGGAGGUCCCAGUGAAAUAGCAGAUGGGGAAUAGAGUACACUUAUCAUGCUGAAAAAGUACCUAAAGAUCUUAGUAGCCACAUCUAUUAGCACUUCAGAAUAAUACUUAGUGUUUUUUUCUUGUCUGUGUUAUAAAGCUUUGGUCUGGUACAUUUUUAUUUGAUUUCUGUGUAAACCAUGGAAACAUAAUGAGACAUGAAAGCAAAAUAAAAAAUUAAAAGUAUGUAAAGCAUGGAGGAAUAAAACCCUGCUGACUCUAAACCUUACUUAUAGAACAUUUUCAAUCACUUCCUUAUUCUAAAGUUUUAGAGUAUAUCUGAUACUGGUGUCAAAAGAUGAAUUCUUGGUGUUGGACAUAAUAGAUAUGUGGUCUCUAUGAGCACUUGGGGCUCCUGCUCCUGUUCUAAUCAGCAAAAUAUUCACCAAACCAUUCUUCCCCUGAUCCCCGGGAAAUUAAUCAUACAAAACCUUUGGGUCGCUGAUUUACUACGAAAGGAAGGUCUUAACAGAAGGAAGGGGUAAAAUAAUGAAGCUUAGUUGAAAUGUGUAUGUUUCAUACACGUGCACGCAUAAGCCAAGAUUUUUAGUUCGACCUGUUCACCCCUGAAUCCUUUUCUGAAAGGUAGAUUCCUAUUUCUUUUGGUACAUGUACCACUGAUUAUACAUGUUCUUCAAGAUAUAGGAGAUGAUUAUAUAGCGAUACAUUUCUUUUAAUAGGUCAGAAAAAAUAGAUCAACGCAUCAAAACUAUGCUUUUAUAGUUAGUAAUGUUUUCUUCGAGGCCAUAGGAGGCAUUUUAAGUGAAUGGGUUCAAGGAAGGCUAUGAAUAAUCCUAUAAUUAACGGUGAUCCUUACAUAUGGCAGAAAUCAUGAAUUUCUGACAAUUAUGGAAGUUUGAGAAACACUGGUAUGGAGGGAUGAAAUGGCUUUGUCCUUUCUGCACCUUCCCUGGGCAUCACAGUUCUUGCUAUCACAUCACACAUGUGCUUGUAGUUUGGAGUUGUGUCCGAUCCUACUCCCUUGCUCUAGUUCACAUAAGUUACUGAGUGGCUGGCUGGAGGAUAGGUAGAUAGAGAAAGGGAUGAUUUCUACAGACAGACUACAACUUAUUAAAAUAAAAAUAAGAGUAUCUGAUGGACCACUGAAUAUUUAUGCUUUAAGAGAAAGCAAGCAGUAUACAACACUGCAGCUCACAGAGGGCUGGAAAAGAAUAGGUUUCCUCUCGUAAUCGAACAGCAUUUUGAACAUGGCAGAGCAAAUAAGCACCCACUCUCUCAGCUUGCUGCCAAGUAAACCCCCAGCCACAAGAGCAGUCUUCUCUCUGAUUGGCAUUAUCUUUGCUAAACCCCCUCACUCUGUGGUUUCAAAGCAUUGAAAGAUGAUAAAGGCCUAAGUUUAGUUUAGCUGGAGUGGCAGAUUCAGACAAAAAAAGAUGAGAGAGAAAGCAAUAUUCAUGCACUGCUAAAUAAUUCAGGGUCUGCUGUGGGCCGGGCACUGUUGCAGACAAGACCCCUUCCUUUCUUAUAAUCGGUGAAUAGUGGUUCCUGAAGGACAUCUUAGAAGUCACUGAUAUUGAGGGUCUGCCCCCAAAGUAAAUGACACUGCCACCAUGAUCUUUUCCAACUUUUUAUUACGAAAGCUGUUAGAAACAUAGACCUUAUGACCAUCCUUAUACUCAUCACCUGAUUCAACAAUGAUUAAUGGUUUUGCUGUAUUUCUUUUACCUUUCUUUCCUCUUAGAUCAUUUAUAAAUAAGUUGCAGUCAUCGUGACCUUCACUCCGGAAUAUUUCAGCAGUUCUGUCACCUGUACCUGAUUUGAGGGAGAGUCUCAAUGAACAGUCGUCUCAGAGCCAGUGGUCUCGAGAAGCUAAUGGGAGAACAGUGGGGCCUUGGUGAAGAUGAAGUGAGCCUGAGGGAGGCCCUGCCUGCCAGGCUUCUCUCUGAGGCAGCUCACCACUCUUACCCUCUGCUGACAAGGAGCACGCAAGAGAUGGAUUUCAGUCCCAAACGUGGUAAACCCAUCUCCUGGCACACCUGAGCUUCCAGGAGCCUAGACCGGUUGGGGUGAUGCUUCAGAUUCCUUGUUGGUAAUGUCCUUUAUGAGAGCGCACAGCGUCUACACAUCCUUGUAUACUGUUCGUAUUAUUUUUCAAGACCUGCUUCCUCUACAUGCCUCUCCACCCACCCCAUCGCUCCAGCAACAACAGAAGGAAGGACACCUGCCACAGCGGCCACUUGCCUGAGCGCCCCUGG